rnacentral:rRNA from 1 species
GUCCAGACUCCUACGGGAGGCAGCAGUGAGGAAUAUUGGUCAAUGGCCGGAAGGCUGAACCAGCCAAGUCGCGUGAGGGAAGACGGCCCUACGGGUUGUAAACCCCUUUUGUCGGGGAGCAAAGCGAGUCACGUGUGACUCAUUGAGAGUACCCGAAGAAAAAGCAUCGGCUAACUCCGUGCCAGCAGCCGCGGUAAUACGGAGGAUGCGAGCGUUAUCCGGAUUUAUUGGGUUUAAAGGGUGCGUAGGCGGGAUGCCAAGUCAGCGGUAAAAAUGCGGUGCUCAACGCCGUCGAGCCGUUGAAACUGGCAGUCUCGAGUUGGAGAGAAGUAUGCGGAAUGCGCGGUGUAGCGGUGAAGUGCAUAGAUAUCGCGCAGAACUCCGAUUGCGAAGGCAGCAUGCCGGCUCCACACUGACGCUGAGGCACGAAAGCGUGGGUAUCGAACAGGAUUAGAUACCCUAGUA